AAACCAACAGGGAUUGCCCCAGUAACGGCGAGUGAAGCGGCAAGAGCUCAAAUUUGAAAGCUGGCUCCUUCGGGGUCCGCAUUGUAAUUUGUAGAGGAUGCUUC
rnacentral:rRNA from 1 species